AACGCACAUUGCGCCCUCUGGUAUUCCGGAGGGCAUGCCUGUUCGAGCGUCAUAAUGACCAAAUCACCCUUGUGGUGGACUUGGAGUUGGCCUGUACUGGCCUCUCUUAAAAUCAGUGGCGGUGCUCUUAAAGCUCUACGCGUAGUAAUUUUCUCGCUAUAGGGUCUUGAUUGUACUUGCCAACAACCCCAACUUAUCAUAAGGUUGACCUCGGAUCAGGUAGGGAUACCCGCUGAACUUAA
rnacentral:misc_RNA from 1 species